UACGGAGGAUCCGAGCGUUAUCCGGAUUUAUUGGGUUUAAAGGGUGCGUAGGCGGGAGAUUAAGUCGGUGGUGAAAUUUUGCAGCUCAACUGUAAAAGUGCCUUCGAAACUGGUUUCCUUGAGUGUAGAUGAAGUAGGCGGAAUUUGUGGUGUAGCGGUGAAAUGCUUAGAUAUCACGAGGAACUCCGAUUGCGCAGGCAGCUUACUAAACUACUACUGACGCUCAGGCACGAAGGCGUGGGGAUCAAACAGGAUUAGAUACCCCCGUAGUCCCUGA
rnacentral:rRNA from 1 species